UACGGAGGGUGCAAGCGUUAAUCGGAAUUACUGGGCGUAAAGCGUGCGCAGGCGGUUUGUUAAGUCCGCUGUGAAAUCCCCGAGCUCAACUUGGGAAUUGCAGUGGAUACUGGCAAGCUGGAGUGUGGCAGAGGGGGGUGGAAUUCCGCGUGUAGCAGUGAAAUGCGUAGAGAUGCGGAGGAACACCGAUGGCGAAGGCAGCCCCCUGGGCUAACACUGACGCUCAGGCACGAAAGCGUGGGGAGCAAACAGG
rnacentral:rRNA from 1 species